CCUACGGGGGGCAGCAGUGAGGAAUAUUGGUCAAUGGGCGCGAGACUGAACCAGCCAAGUAGCGUGAAGGAGGAAUGCACUGAGGAUUGUAAACUUCUUUUAUCAGGGAAUAAAGUGAGGCACGUGUGCCUGUUUGUGUGUACUUGAUGAAAAAGGAUCGGCUAACUCCGUGCCAGCAGCCGCGGUAAUACGGAGGAUCCGAGCGUUAUCCGGAUUUAUUGGGUUUAAAGGGAGCGGAGAUGGGUUGUUAAGUCAGUUGUGAAAGUUUGCGGCUCAACCGUAAAAUCGCAAUUGAUACUGGCAGUCUUGAGUACAGUUGAGGUAGGCGGAAUUCGUGGUGUAGCGGUGAAAUGCUUAGAUAUCACGAAGAACUCCGAUUGCGAAGGCAGCUUUCUA
rnacentral:rRNA from 1 species